rnacentral:rRNA from 1 species
CCUACGGGUGGCUGCAGUGGGGGAUAUUGCACAAUGGGGGGAACCCUGAUGCAGCGACGCCGCGUGGGUGAAGGAGCGUUUCGGCGCGUAAAGCCCUAUCGGCAGGGAAGAAGGAGGACGGUACCUGACUAAGAAGCCCCGGCUAACUACGUGCCAGCAGCCGCGGUAAUACGUAGGGGGCAAGCGUUAUCCGGAUUUACUGGGUGUAAAGGGAGCGUAGGCGGGGAUGCAAGUUGGGUGUCAAAACUACCGGCUCAACUGGUAGUCGCACGCAAAACUGCAGCUCUUGAGUGAAGUAGAGGCAGGCGGAAUUCCGAGUGUAGCGGUGAAAUGCGUAGAUAUUAGGAGGAACACCAGUGGCGAAGGCGGCCUGCUGGGCUUUUACUGACGCUGAGGCUCGAAAGUGUGGGGAGCAAACAGGAUUAGAUACCCCGGUAGUC